GUGCCAGCCGCCGCGGUAAUACGGAGGGUGCGAACGUUAAUCGGAAUCACUGGGCGUAAAGCGCGCGUAGGCGGUCUGUUAAGUGGGAUGUGAAAUCCCCGGGCUUAACCUGGGAAUUGCAUUUCAAACUGGCCGACUAGAGUACGGUAGAGGGAGGUAGAAUUUCCUGUGUAGCGGUGAAAUGCGUAGAUAUAGGAAGGAAUACCAGUGGCGAAGGCGGCCUCCUGGAUCGAUACUGACGCUGAGGCGCGAAAGCGUGGGGAGCAAACAGGAUUAGAAACCCCCGUAGUCC
rnacentral:rRNA from 1 species